GAUGAACGCUGGCGGCGUGCCUAAUACAUGCAAGUCGAGCGAACAGACGAGGAGCUUGCUCCUCUGACGUUAGCGGCGGACGGGUGAGUAACACGUGGAUAACCUACCUAUGACUGGGAUAACUUCGGGAAACCGGAGCUAAUACCGGAUAAUAUAUUGAACCGCAUGGUUCAAUAGUGAAAGACGGUUUUGCUGUCACUUAUAGAUGGAUCCGCGCCGCAUUAGCUAGUUGGUAAGGUAACGGCUUACCAAGGCAACGAUGCGUAGCCGACCUGAGAGGGUGAUCGGCCACACUGGAACUGAGACACGGUCCAGACUCCUACGGGAGGCAGCAGUAGGGAAUCUUCCGCAAUGGGCGAAAGCUUGACGGAGCAACGCCGCGUGAGUGAUGAAGGUCUUCGGAUCGUAAAACUCUGUUAUUAGGGAAGAACAAAUGUGUAAGUAACUAUGCACGUCUUGACGGUACCUAAUCAGAAAGCCACGGCUAACUACGUG
rnacentral:rRNA from 1 species